UCGAACGGCACCCACCUCCGGGUGGAAGCGAGUGGCGAACGGCUGAGUAACACGUGGAGAACCUGCCCCCUCCCCCGGGAUAGCCGCCCGAAAGGACGGGUAAUACCGGAUACCCCGGGGCGCCGCAUGGCGCCCCGGCUAAAGCCCCGACGGGAGGGGAUGGCUCCGCGGCCCAUCAGGUAGACGGCGGGGUGACGGCCCACCGUGCCGACAACGGGUAGCCGGGUUGAGAGACCGACCGGCCAGAUUGGGACUGAGACACGGCCCAG
rnacentral:rRNA from 1 species